rnacentral:rRNA from 1 species
AUUGAACGCUGGCGGCAGGCCUAACACAUGCAAGUCGAGCGGAUGAAGGGAGCUUGCUCCUGGAUUCAGCGGCGGACGGGUGAGUAAUGCCUAGGAAUCUGCCUGGUAGUGGGGGAUAACGUCCGGAAACGGGCGCUAAUACCGCAUACGUCCUGAGGGAGAAAGUGGGGGAUCUUCGGACCUCACGCUAUCAGAUGAGCCUAGGUCGGAUUAGCUAGUUGGUGGGGUAAAGGCCUACCAAGGCGACGAUCCGUAACUGGUCUGAGAGGAUGAUCAGUCACACGGGAACUGAGACACGGUCCAGACUCCCACGGGAGGCAGCAGUGGGGAAUAUUGGACAAUGGGCGAAAGCCUGAUCCAGCCAUGCCGCGUGUGUGAAGAAGGUCUUCGGAUUGUAAAGCACUUUAAGUUGGGAGGAAGGGCAGUAAGUUAAUACCUUGCUGUUUUGACGUUACCAACAGAAUAAGCACCGGCUAACUUCGUG